ensembl:lncRNA
AUUAAUUUUACAUAUAUGUAGCAGGUAGGAAAGUAGGUCAUGGGGGUGGGGUCAUCUGCCUAGGUAUAUCAGGUGAUGCAGAUUAGAGGGGGACUAGCCAUUUGGAUGAGUGACGGCCACAUGGUAAUGGAGUGCCACUAGCACAGUGUUUCAGUAUAGUACAGGGGAAUGCAACUGUGAAGCACCAGUGUGUGAAGUCGCCUUCAGUUAAAGAAGAUUUUAAUAGUUUUUUACAAACCGUUUGAUGUGACCAGUAUGCAAGUCUUAUAACCAGCUAUUGCGGUAUGAUUCAAUGUGAAUUGUUUCAGAUUAUGUUAAUGCUUUAGUGUUUGUCACGUGUUAACCGGAUGCAGCGCUCUGUUAUCGCAUUGAGAAGCACUAAGGUGGAGAGACUCAUUCUUUUGUUGUGUUCUUUGUAUUUUGCAUUGUGUAUAUCAUAUUGUAUUUUUAUUUUGUUUAUUUGGUCAUUGGCAAUUGUAUAAUUUACAAUAUUUAUGGUGCAAUUGCACAGAGCAAUGUGCAGUAAUUCCCUUUAAUGUAUAACAGAAGUGUGCCGAUUGCAGUGUAUCAAGCGAAGGUGAUUGAUUUGAUUUGCGCUGUGAUUUCCUGCUUGUGUAUUGGAGUGUAGUGUGUAUUUGGUGUUAUAUUUAAAGGGUUUACGACUUGCCUUGAACGUGUACCUUUCAUUGGAGAGUUAUUUAUUUGCUCUGCUAUGAAUUAAAUAUUUUAAUAUUGUAAAAGUAACAAAGAAUAAAGUUAAAUAUUUUUGUGCACCUGCCUUUGUCCUUUUAAUUAGGAUAUAUCUAUUACCCGCCCACAUACCGUAUUGUUCCUGCUACUGGUAAAUUAAUCGGGCAUUGGUCUGUUUCUGGC